CCUACGGGGGGCAGCAGUGAGGAAUAUUGGUCAAUGGACGAGAGUCUGAACCAGCCAAGUAGCGUGAAGGAUGACUGCCCUAUGGGUUGUAAACUUCUUUUAUAUGGGAAUAAAAUGUUCCACGUGUGGGAUUUUGUAUGUAACAUAUGAAUAAGGAUCGGCUAACUCCGUGCCAGCAGCCGCGGUAAUACGGAGGAUCCGAGCGUUAUCCGGAUUUUUUGGGUUUAAAGGGAGCGUAGGUGGAUUGUUAAGUCAGUUGUGAAAGUUUGCGGCUCAACCGUAAAAUUGCAGUUGAAACUGGCAGUCUUGAGUACAGUAGAGGUAGGCGGAAUUCGUGGUGUAGCGGUGAAAUGCUUAGAUAUCACGAAGAACUCCGAUUGCGAAGGCAGCUCACUGGACUGCAACUGACACUGAGGCUCGAAAGUGUGGGUAUCAAACAGGAUUAGAUACCCGGGUAGUC
rnacentral:rRNA from 1 species